CAGCCGCCGCGGUAACACGUAGGUGGCAAGCGUUGUCCGGAAUUAUUGGGCGUAAAGGGCUCGCAGGCGGUUUCUUAAGUCUGAUGUGAAAGCCCCCGGCUCAACCGGGGAAGGUCAUUGGAAACUGGGAAACUUGAGUGCAGAAGAGGAGAGUGGAAUUCCACGUGUAGCGGUGAAAUGCGUAGAGAUGUGGAGGAACACCAGUGGCGAAGGCGACUCUCUGGUCUGUAACUGACGCUGAGGAGCGAAGGCGUGGGGAGCGAACAGGAUUAGAUACCCCAGUAGUCCCUGUCUCUUAUAA
rnacentral:rRNA from 1 species